rnacentral:rRNA from 1 species
CCCUUAGAUGUCCUGGGCCGCACGUGCGUUACACUGAUGCAUUCAACGAGCUUAUAACCUUGGCCGAGAGGCCUGGGCAAUCUUGUUAACGUGCAUCGUGAUAGGGAUAGAUUAUUGAAAUUAUUAAUCUUGAACGAGGAAUUCCUAGUAAACGCAGAUCAUCAAUCUGCAUUGAUUACGUCCCUGCCCUUUGUACACACCGCCCGUCGCACCUACCGAUUGAGUGAUCCGGUGAAUAAUUCGGACUGCAGCAGUGUUCAGUUCCUGAACGUUGCAGCGGAAAGUUUAGUGAACCUUAUCACUUAGAGGAAGGAGAAGUCGUAACA